rnacentral:lncRNA from 1 species
CUUAUUCUUGUUAGGGGUAAUUAUCUAUAUGAAUACAGUGACAAUGGAAAUACCAAAGGAAAGUAUUGAUGCGUGUGGGAGUGAAGUCACUGUGGCCAUGCUUUGUGAAAAUGGAAAGAAGUACCCAAUGUCCGAGAGUGUUAGAUAUUUAAAAAUGGAUAUGACCACGAUGAAUCCGAUAAAUGAUCCAGAAAGACCACACAUAUGUACGACAUGCAGUAGAGGGUUCAAAAGUAAUGUAGAUCUACGAAAACACGUGAGAAUACAUACAGGUGAAAGACCAUAUGCUUGCAAACUUUGUAAUAAGACGUUCACACAAAAUGGAAACUUAACAAUGCACAUGAGAGCCCAUACUGGUGACAAACCUUUCAUUUGUGGCAUAUGCGAUCAUCGAUUUGUAAAUAGCAGUCACUUAAAGGCACAUGCGAGGAUCCAUACUGGCGAAAAAAUAAAACUACCGUUGAAACAUUUUUGUAGUGUAUGUGAAAAAGGUUUUACAAAUCAUAGGGACUUAAAGAAACACGUGAGAACCCAUACGG